CGGGAGACUAGGCCGGCGCGCCAGCCCUGCGCUGUUGCACCAUACGGGCUUUACGGGUGGGCUGAAGCCCGGGGGGCGGCUUGGUAUUGGCUUUUUGGCCCUGGCUAAAGUGUUGAGUCUCUGUCCUGCAGAGUUGGCAUUUAUGGUUAACGCGUCAGGUCCGGAAGGAAGCAGCGCGAAUCACAUGUGUCUGCGUUUGCAGGGUAGCGGAGAGGAGCGAUAGUCUGGCAUACCUGGAAGUUCAAGCCCUGUCCACCUUCGGGCGCGUCUCCCG
rnacentral:SRP_RNA from 1 species